AAGAAAUCAAAGUCGUCUUGGAUCAUAUGGAUCCGAGGAGCUAUGAGUGGUUGAUUUUGCAGACUUGAAAACAAAUGGGAUUCCACUCGGACUCCGCGCUAGGUUAGCUUACAGAAUUGAAAGCUCUAUCCUGAGGUAUGAUUGUGAGAUAAUUGUAAACGUGCACACAUAUAUCCAUCUCUAGCUCUUGUAUCAUUAGACGCCUGGAAAUGUUAUUUUGUAGCUAAA